GUGGAACUAGGGCACAGAAAGUUUGCAGUGGGCAUGGAAGAAAAAAACACAUGAAAGACUCUGAAAAAGCAAGGACAGGGAGUAACAGAGACACAUUACAGGAUAGGCAUCAACAAUGGAAAUGAGCAGAACUCGGCUUUGCACAGAGCUCUUGAGACAUCAACAAAUUGACAAAAACAAGGAUCUCAUCCAUAAGACCACGCUACAUUUGGUCAUCACAUCUCCUCAGACUUCUCUACCCUGGAACAAUUCUCAGACUUUCCUUGUUUGUAAUGGCCUUGGCAGUUGUGAGGAGUACUGGUCAGGUAUUUUGUAGAACAUCUGUCAAGAAAGUUUUGCUAAUGUUUUUCUGAUAAUUAGACCAAAGUUAUGGGUUCUUAGGAGGAAGACCACAAGUGAAAAGGAGCAUUCGUUUCACAUCGUGUCAAAGUUAGAAUUAUAAAAAAUCAAGUGUGAAAUGGUAUAUCCCACACCACCAUCCAGUCUUGCCGUUGCUUGGAAUGACUCCUUCUCAAUGAUUCUUUCUCCAAAUGCACUGAAAUUGAAUCACCUGAAAUACUGGCUAACCGGCAUAUUCCCAGGCCGACCUAGACUAAAUGAGAAACUCUGGGAGCUGGAACAUGGCAUCUCUAUUUUGACAAGCCUUCCAAAUGAUUUCAAUCAUAAAGUUGACAAUCUGUUUUACAGCACAUUCCUGAUGACCUCUCAUCAACCUUCUGCUUCUUAUUAAACUAUCAUCUCUCAAAUUCAGACCCAUAAUUAUACACUUGGCUGGGGCAGAAACUUUGAAAAUUACACUAUACUUUUGCUGGUGGCUCCCAGUUAAACUCCAUCUUUAGGAAGCGGAGGGAGACUGGCAGGCAGAAAGAGAAGGAAGUGAUGCUCCUUUCUGUUUGCUUGCUCCCGUCAGGUUCACCCCAGCACUGUUUUUUUUCUCGCUGGCUGUGGCAGUUUGAUCCCAUGCCUGUAACUGAUUCCUGUUUGCAGUAUUUCCAGCAUUCACGGAAACAGCCUAAUUGUGCUACACCCUCCCUUCCAUGCCUUAAAUUUCAAUUAGCCCAAACUCUGCUUUGUUUCCACUGCCCUGG
rnacentral:lncRNA from 1 species